rnacentral:rRNA from 1 species
CACAGCACUUUGCCAACUCGUAAGAGGAAGUAUAAGGUGUGACGCCUGCCCGGUGCUCGAAGGUUAAGAGGAUGCGUCAGUCGCAAGAUGAAGCGUUGAAUUGAAGCCCGAGUAAACGGCGGCCGUAACUAUAACGGUCCUAAGGUAGCGAAAUUCCUUGUCGGUUAAAUACCGACCUGCAUGAAUGGCGUAACGAGAUGGGAGCUGUCUCAACCAGAGAUUCAGUGAAAUUGUAGUGGAGGUGAAAAUUCCUCCUACCCGCGGCAAGACGGAGAGACCCCGUGGACCUUUACUACAACUUAGCACUGCUAAUGGGAAUAUCAUGCGCAGGAUAGGUGGGAGGCUUUGAAGUAAGGGCUUUGGCUCUUAUGGAGCCAUCCUUGAGAUACCACCCUUGAUGUUUCUGUUAGCUAACUGGCCUGUGUUAUCCACAGGCAGGACAAUGC